CAUCGUGAGGUGGAGUCUGAAGAAAGCUGGAGGUAAAUCUCUGGUCUGACAAACAGAAAUCACAUCAGGCUACAAUUAAGGAUAAGACUGCACAACAAGUUAAAGUCCAAUAACUACUCUGAAUUAAUUGUAGUAAAUGUGGCAGAUAUAUGGAGAGAAAGG
rnacentral:ncRNA from 1 species